UAGACAAGGCAUUCUAAACUUGUGUAUGGU
rnacentral:piRNA from 1 species